rnacentral:tRNA from 4 species
GCGCCCGUAGCUCAGUUGGAUAGAGUACUUGGCUACGAACCAAGGGGUCGGGAGUUCGAAUCUCUCCGGGCGCGCCA